AGAGUUUGAUCCUGGCUCAGGAUGAACGCUGGCGGUAUGCCUAACACAUGCAAGUCGAACGGAAUCUUCGGAUUUAGUGGCGGACGGGUGAGUAACGCGUGAGAAUCUGCCUUCAGGAUGGGGACAACAGUUGGAAACGACUGCUAAUACCCGAUAUGCAGCGAUGUGAAAGAUUUAUCGCCUGGAGAUGAGCUCGCGUCCGAUUAGCUAGAUGGUGUGGUAAAGGCGCACCAUGGCGACGAUCGGUAGCUGGUCUGAGAGGAUGAGCAGCCACACUGGGACUGAGACACGGCCCAGACUCCUACGGGAGGCAGCAGUGGGGAAUUUUCCGCAAUGGGCGAAAGCCUGACGGAGCAAUACCGCGUGAGGGAGGAAGGCUCUUGGGUCGUAAACCUCUUUUCUCAGGGAAGAACAAAAUGACGGUACCUGAGGAAUAAGCAUCGGCUAACUCCGUGCCAGCAGCCGCGGUAAUACGGAGGAUGCAAGCGUUAUCCGGAAUGAUUGGACGUAAAGCGUCCGUAGGUGGUUUUGUAAGUCUGUGGUUAAAGCGUGGAGCUUAACUCCAUAAGGGCCAUGGAAACUACAUAACUAGAGUCAAGUAGGGGUAGAGGGAAUUCCCAGUGUAGCGGUGAAAUGCGUAGAGAUUGGGAAGAACACCGGUGGCGAAAGCGCUCUACUGGACUUGUACUGACACUGAGGGACGAAAGCUAGGGGAGCGAAAGGGAUUAGAUACCCCUGUAGUCCUAGCCGUAAACGAUGGAUACUAGGUGUUGCCCGUAUCGACCCGGGCAGUGCCGUAGCUAACGCGUUAAGUAUCCCGCCUGGGGAGUACGCACGCAAGUGUGAAACUCAAAGGAAUUGACGGGGGCCCGCACAAGCGGUGGAGUAUGUGGUUUAAUUCGAUGCAACGCGAAGAACCUUACCAGGGCUUGACAUGUCUGGAAUUCCGGCGAAAGUUGGAAGUGCCUUCGGGAACCAGAACACAGGUGGUGUAUGGCUGUCGUCAGCUCGUGUCGUGAGAUGUUGGGUUAAGUCCCGCAACGAGCCAACCCUCGUUUUUAGUUGCCAUCAUUAAGUUGGGCACUCUAGAAAGACUGCCGGUGACAAACCGGAGGAAGGUGGGGAUGACGUCAAGUCAGCAUGCCCCUUACGCCCUGGGCUACACACGUACUACAAUGCUAUGGACAAAGGGCAGCCAACUGGCGACAGUGAGCUAAUCCCAUAAACCAUGGCUCAGUUCAGAUCGCAGGCUGCAACUCGCCUGCGUGAAGGCGGAAUCGCUAGUAAUCGCCGGUCAGCAUACGGCGGUGAAUCCGUUCCCGGGCCUUGUACACACCGCCCGUCACACCAUG
rnacentral:rRNA from 1 species